UGAAUAUGUGCAAAUGCUAACAUUUGGGUCUGACUAUACUCUCAAAAUCUCAAAUGUACCCUGUCCCAAGUAUAACAUUUUAUUACCACUUACAAGUGUGUGUGUUUGUUUGUGUGUGAGAGAGAAUAUUGGGGCUGUUCAG